GUAGGUGAACCUGCGGAUGGAUCAUUAGUGAAUGUGCGGCGCGGCUUGCUGCGCCCGCCAUCCACCCUUGUGCACCGUACCGUGGCGGCAGCGAUGCCGCCAAGGGCCUCUGGCCCGCCCAACGCUCAACGCCGUCUGAAUUACAGAACCAAAUGAGAUAAACAACUUUUGACAACGGAUCUCUUGGCUCUC
rnacentral:misc_RNA from 1 species